rnacentral:rRNA from 1 species
UACGGGGGGGGCAAGCGUUGUUCGGAAUUACUGGGCGUAAAGGGCUCGUAGGUGGCCAACUAAGUCAGACGUGAAAUCCCUCGGCUUAACCGGGGAACUGCGUCUGAUACUGGAUGGCUAGAGUUUGGGAGAGGGAUGCGGAAUUCCAGGUGUAGCGGUGAAAUGCGUAGAGAUCAGGAAGAACACCGGUGGCGAAAGCGCUCUGCUGGACCUUAACUGACACUGAGGGACGAAAGCUAGGGGAGCGAACGGG